GCUGAUGACGCAGAGGUCAAUGUUGCUUCCGGAGCCCAGGUCGUUGAAGAUGCCAGCUGCGAUGGCUUCGCUCACCAGAUUCUUGGCUUCCUCCUCCUGAGAAACAGAACGGCGGCAAUAAUGUCCCCGGCCAAACUAGGGCCUGCUCUGACAUCCGCAAUGUACGUCCACUAGCAGUGCGCAAGACCUCCCGCGAGACAGGUGUUGUUUUUAAUGCCCAUCUCACAGAUGAGGAAAAGAUCUCAAAGUACCUUGAUUAUUUACCCAAAGUUCCCGACCCAGGCCUUUAAAACUUUUUAUGCAUGCACCGCCUCUUGACCACAUCAGACAAUCACCACAAAACGAUGGGCUGACAGUUACUAGAGGGUUAGUAACUUAUCUUUAAAAGGGCCAGGUAGUAAAUAUUUUAGGCUUUGUGGCCAAAAGUCUCUACCACACCUACUCAACUCUGUCACGCUAGCACAAAACAGCCACACACAAAUACAUUAAAAAAUGGGUAUAACUGUGUUCCAAUAAAACUCUAUUAGCAACAGGCAGUGGGCCAGAUCUGGCCCACUGACUGCAGUUUACUAACUAUCCCCUGAUCAAGAAUGUCCAACAAUAGCUGAAAGUUACUUGAGAAAGUCAGCACUGUAGGAGGAAGAAACUAACACCAAAACACAAGCCGGUAGUUCUGGGGAAAUGCUGGCAGACCAAGGGCGGGACCUCUUGCCCAGAAUAAUCUCUCUCUCCUACUAAGGAACCUAUAGGUUCACUGAAGUAAUCCAUUACUUUGAAUCACUCUCUCCUUUGCCCCACCUUUAAACACAAAUCCCCAUCCCUAAUAGUUACUGGUGAACAGAUGGACUCAUCCCUUUCUUAUCCGAGAAGCCCCAUCACAUGCUAUGUCCUAUCACAUGCUAUACCAGAAGCUAGGGCUGCAGAGGUGGAUGACGCCCCCAGAUCCCUGCCCCCUAGGGGCUUAAGAGUCUAGCAGGGGCACCUGACCCAAGUAAGUACAAUGCAGGGUAAGGCUGGCUAAAGAGCACGUGAAAAGGAGCUGGGAACACAGCUGGUCAGCAGAGCUUCAGGGAGGGCUGAAGGACAGGCUGCACACGAGGCACUCAGAAAACAGCAGUGAAACAGAAGGCAGGCAGCAACGGCAGUGGUACUGGACCUGGGGAACACCAAGUUCAAGCUCUAUAUACAACGAGGACAAAAAUGAACCAGGCUCCCUGAAAGCAGGGAAUCUAACCUGUGCUACGGCGCCUUCCCAGUCCACGAGGGCGUGAGAGUACAUACACAUGCAAGUGCACUCCAGCGCUCACCCAAGCAACACCCUUGGAGAAACACGGACUCCAGGCCCAAAUCCAGCCUGAGACCCUCAAAGGGCAGAUCCGCUAACCUCAAGUUUUCAGAAGAUCUGAACCCACUGGGGGCUCCUGCUCCUCUGCCUGCCCCAUGCCAGACUAGGAUUCCAGUGACAUAAGCGCCCUCUACAGACUCAGAAGGACAGAGAAGGUUCUGCUGGAAGUGGGCUCCUCAGCAAACCAGCAGAUAGGGGUUCCUUUGAUAUUUAUACCCCAGGUUUUUUCACUCUCACGUGACAUCUAUGUGGGGCCAAUGAAGCCAAUUCUUCUUUUGUACAUAUGCAGUCCUGUAAGAAUGCAUUCAAACGGGAUCCGCUAAUUAGGAAUUUUCUCCUGGAAUUCUCAACAGUCUAUGGGGCCAGAAGCUUUCCACAAACCAGUGAAGGUGGCAGCAAAGAAAGCCUCUUAGACGAGGAGCUGGCAGCAGCUGCUAUCUAGAUAGACAGCAAAAACCAACCACUAAUUCAGCAAACACAACCUCAUACCUAACCGCUUCCCUUUAAAUGGCCUUCGGUGUGUGCGCACAUGGGCACGUGCGGGGAGAACCAUACUUAUUCCCCUGUUCCCGGCCUACCACCUCUGCUCCCCCUUCUCUUCUCUACCAUUUAACUGUCUCCUCUGCUUUGUUUCUUAUCACUGCUGCUGGUGUCUAGAGCCAGCCAGCAGUACCUGGCAGACAUCGCGACCCUGCGGGCAGCGCUUAGGACUGCACAUUUACAUUUCCCAAAUGAUCUGGGUAGAUGGGGACAGGUGAAGACUUGGGGAAACGGAAAUAUACGAAUGACAUGAGACAUGCAUAUCUAGUGUCAAUCCAUUCGACUGGGCACAGGACAGCAGACUGCUGACAGUGCUAUGUAAGAUUAUGAGUGAUCCUCCCUCUAUUUUGCAAACAGUCUGUAAGUAACUGAUAAAACUUUAAAAUAUGCAAAUUUUAAAAUUAUAUAGUUUGAUUUACUCAUCAAAUUAUCAUGUAUGCUGUUAUUUAAGUAUGAAUAAAGGCUUUUUUAAAUUGGGAAAAUACAUCUUUUAAAUUCCUUUCCUCCCCACCAAUUCUAGGGAAGAUCAUUCCUUAAGGAAGAAAAUCUCAAGUUUCUCACUUUUUUCCCCCCAGUCCCACUCCAUGUCUCAUAUACACAUGGCUGAAGAUGUUAGGAGAUGGAAUGAAACUUAGAUUUAUGGAGCACCUAUAUGCUCACUAAAACAAUCAAUCAAUCAACAUCUACCAGCACUCUAACGUGCCAAGCCCUGAGUUGGGCACUUUGAUGAUCAUCAUGUUCACCCCUGCCCCCAACCAUCUUUUGAUGUUGGUAUGGUCAGAAACUCUGGCUGACGGUCAAUGACUUACACAAGGUCACACAGCAGGUAAACAAAAAAUAGUAAAACAGGCCCAUCAGGCCCCAGAGCCACAAGGCCGCAGCACCACACCAACUCGCAAGUGACCUUCCUUGGGCCGGGGGCUCCUCAGCUAGUCCCUGACUCAAGGCUGUGUCAUUCACGCCCCACCACCAAAGAGCCUUAAGACCUGGGUAAAUUUAAGAGGAGGAGGAUGGUGUUUGCCGGUUUCUCUCUGGGCCAACCAGCAGCUCCUCUGAUGGUCACUCCCAUUGGGGGUUGGAGGGCAGUGUUUCCCAAAAUACCCAAGACUACCACUUCAAGGGCCUUCUUCAUUCUCAACCAAGUUAGGGCAACAUCUCUACAAUGCAACACCAGAUCAAUAUUAAGAUCUAAGGUCUUAUUUAACAUAUCCCUCCCUUAACACCCCAAACCCUCAUAAUCAAAACAGCGUGGAAAUGACCAAAGGCUCUACUGUCCACCCACUACUUACACAGUUAAUGUCUUUAACACACACCUAUAGGGACCUACUAUGUUCCAGGAACUGCUUCAAUGCUGAAUACUGUCUCUGACUACAGUAUUUCCAUACACAGAAUUCUAGACACGUAUGCAAAUAUGCUACUGGGCAUAUUCAUACUGUGUUUUCUUUAUAGUGGAAUUUCACAAUUAAACAACUUUUGUCUUUAACAUGUGCUACCAAAUAUUUAAGAAAACUAUCAAGAAAAACCACAAACUAAAGGCAAGAGGUGGGGAAAACACCACAUUUGUAUCUGUCUCCAGCCCACAAUAAGCGCAAGAAGCACUGUCUCUUCCUUUAGGAUUAGUUCUUCGUAGGGAAACUGCACCUCCCUUUUCU
rnacentral:lncRNA from 1 species